rnacentral:rRNA from 1 species
UACGGGGGGGGCAAGCGUUGUUCGGAAUUACUGGGCGUAAAGGGCGUGUAGGCGGUCAGGUAAGUGGGACGUGAAAUGCCUCGGCUCACCCGAGGAGCGGCGUCCCAUACUGCUUGGCUUGAGUACGGGAGAGGAUGUGGGAAUUCCUGGUGUAGCGGUGAAAUGCGUAGAUAUCAGGAGGAACACCGGUGGCGAAGGCGCACAUCUGGCCCGAUACUGACGCUGAGGCGCGAAAGCUAGGGGAGCAAACGGG